rnacentral:rRNA from 1 species
GAUGAACGCUGGCGGCGUGCUUAACACAUGCAAGUCGAACGGUGAACGAGGGAGCUUGCUCCCUCCGGAUCAGUGGCGAACGGGUGAGUAACACGUGCGCAAUCUGCCCCGAACUCUGGGAUAAGCGUUGGAAACGACGUCUAAUACCGGAUACGAUGCGUGGGGGCAUCCCCAACGCCUGGAACGCACUUCGGUCCAGGAUGAGCUCGCGGCCUAUCAGCUAGUUGGUGAGGUAACGGCUCACCAAGGCGACGACGGGUAGCCGGCCUGAGAGGGUGACCGGCCACACUGGGACUGAGACACGGCCCAGACUCCUACGGGAGGCAGCAGUGGGGAAUAUUGCACAAUGGGCGCAAGCCUGAUGCAGCAACGCCGCGUGAGGGACGACGGCCUUCGGGUUGUAAACCUCUUUUAGCAGGGAAGAAGCGAAAGUGACGGUACCUGCAGAAAAAGCACCGGCUAACUACGUGCCAGCAGCCGCGGUAAAAC